GGGUAAGCAAGACAGAGAAUUGGUGAGAAAGACAGUCAGAGACGAAACUCAGCAGGGACCAGUGCUGGCCUUGAAGGACAAAGUUGCUGAAAGGGGUCUCUGCCCAUGGGGUGUCUGGAGGCAGAGUUGACCAGGAUGGCCCCAUUUGGGGUCUGUGUGGGGAACCAAGGCAAUGAAGCAAAAGGUCAAGUAGAGGACGGAGGAGCCCGACUCUGGGGGGCCUCCACGCCAAGUUAUUCUAAAAUCGCAUACGUGUGAAAACAUGUGGAUUGUGUAUGUGCACCUCAGCCUGGACAAAGGUGCAGAAGGACCCACAGGCUGCUGUUGGUUAUCUCGGGGUGGACUGGAGCACAGGUCCUUGUGGGAUGCAAAUGAGCUACUAAGCUAAAGGUUGGUGAUUCGAACCUACCUGGCAGCACUGCAGAAGAAAGAGCUGGCAAUCUGCUUCCGUAAAGAUUACAGCCAAGAAAACCUGAUAGAACAGGGGGUGUAACAGGGGGUCGCCAUGAGUUGGAACUAUUAACUCUUAGUAGAUGCCUCUGUAUAGUUUAACUCUUUAGAGUGAACAUAUAAUUUGUGAGUUGAAUUUUUUUAAUCCAAUGAAGUAGAAGUGGAAAGGGAGGAAGAACAGCGAUGGUUUGGACUGUGUUCUGCAGAAAGGUAGGCGCGGGCUUUCGAGCAGGGGGCCAGAAAGCGCCCUGAGACAACCGGCCAGACCUAGAUCUGAUUUCAGCCCCCGCCUUUGUUCAGCUGCGCCGCCAAGAGCCACCACCAGGGGGCGCUGCUGGGGCAUGGAGUGGACGCCUCUAGAUUUCGACUGCCCAGUCCACCUUCCCUCCUCCUCCGAUAGCAUCGCACCUACCUCUUUAUAAAACUGCCCCUCUUACCAAGAUUCUCUGUCCCGAUUAAUCGACAUCUCUCCUGCUGCGGCCCCUUUAAGGUCGCUUUGGAGGACCUAGUUUCAAAACAGAUGACGACCUUCUACCUGCUGUCUCUAUGGUAUAGAAGUCCUCACUUCCGGCCGGAAGUGCUUGUGCCGCGCUGUCUCGGCCUUGGAAGACGGAGGGGGGUGUUGCACGUGUUCUGUGGCGUCCUGGGGACGGCAGGCCCCCUCACAUGCUGCUGGUCGUCGGUCCCUGGCCCGCAGGGUGACGCGGAGCUACCCUAGCCGCCCCUUCCACAGCCACCGACCAUACCUGGGGCGUCGGGCCCCGCGGGGGGCAAGCAUACAAGACAGACCAGGGUCUCGCGACCCCAGAGAAAAGGGCUUCCCCACGGUCCUGGAACCCCAGAGAUCUGAGACCCCCACUCCAUGGAUCGCUGGACUCUGGAGACCUGAGACACCCCGCCGUGGGUCCUGGGGCCCUCCCCCUCCCCGCGCCGAGACCUGAGACCCUCGUCCUAUUCCCCUCCCCCUCCUCCACGGUACCGGGACCUCGGAGACCGCAAGCCCCGCCGCGGGGCCCGGGGCUUCAGGGACCGCACCUGGCACAGCAGCUGGGGCUGGGACGGGAGGAGGCAAAGGGAACUCGGUCAGAACACAGACACCAAAACUGGGACAAGGGAAUUGUAGGGAGGCGCUGCAGCUGGCAGGAAAGCCUGGGAGCCCCCGACUGGGUGAGCAUGAAGUGAGACUUUUACCCUCACAGAGCAUGCUGUAUUACUGUUUUUUCCAGGGUUUCCACAGAAAAUGAGGAACAGCCAGCCUUUGGCAUUUGGGUGGAGAUACGGAAGGACUAUUUUGAGAUACAGGUAUGUUGAGCUUGGAGACAAAGUGUCCUAAACUGGUGGUCUGGGGGAAGGCUCCUGUGUGGCUGAACCUGCCCAGUUGUGGGUGCAGCCUGGUACCAGGCAGCCCAACCCUGACCUAGAGUAAAUUCUCAGGAGAAGCUUUCCCUGGGUUUUGAAUUUGCAGUAACAGGUGUGAACAUUCUAGCAGCAGUUUGAUGAUCAUGUAUGAUACUGCAAACAAGACCGGUGCCAAAAGAAGGCAAUUUUUAUAGUUGGUACCAAGGAGCAGGUAGUUUUUGAAAAAGCUGUGAAUACUGUUGGAUCUUUGUUCAGUGGGUGCUUGUUGACAGUUUGUCGAAGUGCCAUGCUAAGUGCUGGAGGUGCAGGGAUGAGCAAGGCAGUCGUGGUCUCUGCUCCUGGGGAGCUGCAGCCCAGCCGGGGGACUGAUAUUAAAUGGCCAUGCUAAAAAAAGAAGGCAGAAUUUAAACUGAGCUGAAUGCUUUGAAGGAAAGCAGCACAGUCCUUUAAGAAUAUAAAUCAAGACGAACCUGAUAGAGACUGGAAGGCUGAGGAUGGGACUUUUCAACUGGCCUCUGAAGGAUGAGUAGGAGUUCGCUGAGAAGGCCAGGGAGCAAGCAGCCUGUGCAAAGGCCCCAGCCUGACAAGUUUGGGUGGUGGAGGAACUGAAAAAAGGCCAUUAUAGCCAUAAAGCAAGGGGGGAGAAUGGUGUGGAACGAAGCUGAAAAGAUGGGAAAAACCAGACCACACAGGGUCUUGUGGCCUGUGUAAGGAUUUUGGUUUUUGUCUUAAGAACAGUGGGAGGCCCGUUGUAGGUUUUAAACAAGAGAGUGUUGGGCUAAAAUCUAAUUUCGGAAGAGUGCUGUGUCUAGAACAGCGCUGUCCAGAAGAAUCUAAUGGAAAUGUUUUCUCUGGGUUCUGUCUGAUACACACUAGCCACUAACCACAUGUGCUGUUGAGCAUUUGCCAUGUGGCUAGUGAGACUAAGGAAUGAAUUUUUAAUUUUAGCUAAUUUAGAUGUAAAUGGCCACUUGUGGUUGGUGGCCACUGAGUUGGACUGCACAGGUCUAGAACGUGAUGGGGACAGUAGUGACACCUGAAUCAGAAUCGUGGCAACAGGUGCUCUUUCUUCCCCUGCCCUUGUUCCUCCUUAGAUGAAGGCUGACAUGGACCCCGCUUUGGGAUUUCUCCUCCCUCAUGUUGGUUUCUCCUGAGUGAUCUCUUGAGUCUUGAACAUAGAUGUAGCUGUUCGUGAAAUCUUAAAAUUUCCGUUUUCUGGCUGUGGUUUGGCCUGCCCCUUCAUGAAGCAGCAGUCUUUCUUCUGUCUUGGCCUGGUUUGUGGCGAGCAUGCAGAUUGAGAAGUGACAUCUUCAGCACAUUUAAGCACCUUUGACAGUAGUCAGCAUUGCAUCCUGGCCCUUGGAGGGGGUGUAAAGAAAAGUGCAGGCCCUGGCAUUAAGGGGCCCAGCAUUUAGAGAGACGUUAAAUAAGUGCUGUGGAACAGCAGUGUCCCUCAGUGGUGCAAAGGGUUAAUGAGGUCAGUUCGUAAUAGGGUUUGAAAGUUCAAGUCCACCAACAGGCGCCUCAGGAGAGAGGCCUGGUAGUCUACUUCCAAAAAAUCAGUCAUUGGAAACCCUGUGGAACACAGUUGUACUCUGACACGCAUGGGGUCACCAUGUGUUCAAGUCGACUCGAUGGCAGCUGGCGUAUGAAACAAUAGCAGGAAGGAGGGUUUCCAGUGGGAUCUGUCAGGGCUUGUGACCCCUGAGGGGCCUGACUGUCAAAGGCAGGAAAGGCUUUUUCCAGCUGAUGAAACCUGGGACAGAAGGCAGGAAGCAUGAAAGUGGCGGGAAGCUUGUGAGUUGGAGCCAUACCUGCGACACAUGGACGUGGCUAAGCGAAGGGAAAGGAACUGAAGUAGGAAAUACGGGCUGGUGUUGGGUCAUGGGGCACUUUGAAUGUCAGAGCUCAGGUUUUAUUCUGACUUGAUUAGUGCCGGGUUUCCAAGGAAGACAGGGAGACUGAGCUGUGUCUGAGAAGGGCACCAGGUGGCAGUGUGCAAAUUCCAAGCUUGGAGAGAAGCUGUGGGGUUAGGAAGCCACGGAGACUGCACCUGAAGAGGGCAGCGACCAGCCCGCGGCCAGAGCCUGCGGGCAUGGAGGGAGGUAGGGCACAGCCCCAGGGACUCUUUUCACACACUCCGGGUGGAAGGUAGGUUUUGGCUUUUAUAGAGUCUUUCACGGUUGUUUCUCGGUAGUUUUAACUUGGAGAAUAGUCAGGCUUGCUGAAGUGCCGUAAAAACUGAUGAAAUCUCAUUGGUUUGCAGGUGAGUGUUCUGGAAGAUUUGCGUGUGUGCUGGCUGAAAACCUACUGACUCCUGUCUGCUUGAAACGUAAAUUUUAUGGCUUUCAGGUUUAUUUGGAAUGACGCUUAACCACACAAGUUUUCAGUGUUGACCUGCUGAAGAUGCCAUGUCCUGUGGACGUAAUGAAAAGGAGUCAGGCGCAAGAGCAUGUUCCCAGUAUUUCCAGCUGUGAAAUUCUGUAGGAUGCUGCGGCUUGGUGAACGCGCUAGGCUGCUAACCGAAAGGUUAGCAGUUUGAGUCUACCCAGAGGCAGCUCAGAACAAAGACCUGGCAAUUUACUUCUGAAAACUCAGCUAUUGAAAACCCUGCAGAGUCACCUUGAGCAACAGAGGAAGACGAGUCAGAAAUAGGAGGAAAUGGACUGUGUGACUAACUGCCUCCAUGAACAACUGCCUCCUUUGCCAUGAGAUCAGAACUUGUUGGUGCCUGGCUACUGUUACUGAGUGUUUUGAUCAAAGAUGCUGUAGGAGGAUCUUGAUAAAAAGGGGGAGAAUGCAGAACAAAAUUUCAAAUUCUCACGGAAUCUAGAAUUUCUGGAGCCAUGGAGGCUGCUUGAAACCCUGAAAUUAACUGCCAUGAGAUAAUCUCUAAGCCUUAAACCAAAAAUAUCCUCUAGAGUCUUCUUAAAACCAAACAAUAGUUCAGCUUAACUAGUAAAGCCUCCCUUGAGCAUUGUGCUCUUUUAAAACCCUCUGGAGUCACCUGGAGCAACAGAGGAAGAGAGUCAGAAUAGGAGGAAGAAAUGGAAUGUGUGGUUAUAUGGAAUCAUAUGGGGUCAAAAUCUGCAUGGGAUCAAACUGACCUCAACUUGAAAGAUUAGAUAGGAAACUUAGGGGGCAAUGAGUUUAUAUAUGGGGGAGGAACAACUCAGAAAAGGAGGGUGAGAAUGGUUGUACAAAUUGAACAAUGUAAUCAAUGUCACUGGAUUAAACACGUAGAAACUUGAAUUGGUGUAUGUUCUGCUAUGUAUAUUCUCUACAACAACAAAAAUAGAUUACGUAUGAAAAAAGAAAACCCAAUGGAGCACCGUCUUAGUCAUCUAGUGCUACUAUAAACUACCACAAGUGGAUGGUUUUAACAAAGAGAAGUUUAUUCUUUCACAGUCUAGUAGGCUAGAAGUCCGAAUUCAGGGCACCAGCUCCAGGGGAAGGCUUUCUCUGUCUGCUCUGGAGGAAGGUCCUUGUCGUCAAUCUUCCCUUGGUCUGGGAGUUUCUCUGCACAGGAACCCUGAGUCCAAAGGACACACUUUGCUCCUGGCGCUGCUUUCUUGGUGGUAUGAGGUCCCCCGUCACUCUGCUCACUUUUCUCUUUUAUAUCUCAAAAGAGAUUGGCUGAAGACACAAACCAAUCUUGUAGUUUGAGUCCUGCCUCAUUAGCAUGACUGCCACUAAUCCCAUCUCAUCAACAUCAUAGAGGUAGAAUUUAUAAGACGUGGGAAAAUCACAUCAUGACAAAACGGUGGACAAUUACAAUAUUGGGAAUCAUGGCCCAGCCAAGUAGACAGAUAUUUUUAGGGGACACAAUUCAAUCCAUGACAAGCACCUUCGGCUCUGACACAGAUGGGGUUGUCAUGAGUUGGAGUCAACGCCACAGCAGCUCAUUCGGUUUUGUCUUCGUUUGUCCUUUACCUUGCCUCUUUUUCACACCAGUCGUCCUUGCUUGGGUGCUUCCUGGGUCAUAGGUUGAAUAAUCUGUUAUGGAUUCAAUUGUGUCCCCAAAAAUAUGUAUUGUAAAUCCUAAAACCUCUAUACCUACAUAUAUAAUCCCGUUUGGGAAUAGGACUUUCUUUGUCAGGCUGAUGAGAUCAUAUUGGUGUAGGGUGUGUCAUACAGAUUAGGCAUAGAAAAGGAAGCACACAUGGAGGGGAGGAUACAAGCCACAGGAAGGACAGGACAAGAGACAAGGACCUUCCCCCCAGAGCUGACAGAGAGCCUCGCCCUAGAGCCGGCACCCUGAAUUUCAAUUUCUAGCCCGAAUUGUAAGAAAAUAAAUUUAUGCUCAUUCAAGCCAUCCAGUUGUGGCAUUUCUGUUAUAGCAGUGGUGGGACAGUACUCAGGAACGCAUCUACAACAACAGAUUCGCUAUGUAAGGGGCUAAGAAGAAAUACCUGUCCCUGCCUCAGCUCCUUGGGGCUGAGGUCAUUGCGGUCCUCUGGACAAAUGACAGCUCAUAUCACAGGUAAAGAUCCUUAAGUACCCCCGUGCUUUCCAUGGAGGGUAAUAGAGUGUUAAAUAUGAUGCUGCUCACUGCAGCCAAUGGGCUCUGAUUCCUGGCAAACUUCAUUAGUAGAACUAAACGUUGCCCUUUCUUAAACCAUCUUCACAAUCAUUGGUAUUUUUCUAUUUUAUUUUUUAUUGUUUUAUGUGAAACUUUACAGCUCAAGUUUGUUUCUCAUGCAAAAAUUUAUACACAUAUUGUUAUGUGACCUAGUUGCAAUCCCAAUAAUGUGAUAUACUCCCUCUUUCCACCCCAGGUUUCCCGUGUCCAUUCAACCAGCUCCUAUCCCUUUCCACCUUCUCAUCUCACUUCUGGACAGGAGCUGCCCAUUUAGUUUUGUGUAUCUACUUGAACUAAGAAGCACACUCUUCAUGAGUAUCAUUUUAUGUUUUAUA